CGGUACGUACUGGUAUUGUUGGUUUCUCCCUUCUGACGAACCAUGAUGUCAUUUAUUUGGUGUUGUGGGAAAUCAGGACUGUUACUUUGAAAAAAUUAGAGUGUUUAAAGCAGGCUCACGCUUGAAUACAUUAGCAUGGAAUAAUGAAAUAGGACGUUUGAUUCUAUUUUGUUGGUUUCUAGGAUCGACGUAAUGAUUAAUAGGGAUAGUUGGGGGCAUUAGUAUUCAAUUGUCAGAGGUGAAAUUCUUGGAUUUAUUGAAGACUAACUACUGCGAAAGCAUUUGCCAAGGAUGUUUUCAUUAAUCAAGAACGAAAGUUAGGGGAUCGAAGACGGUCAGAUACCGUCGUAGUCUUAACCAUAAACUAUGCCGACUAGGGAUCGGAUGAUGUUAAUUUUUUAAUGACUCAUUCGGCGCCUUACG
rnacentral:rRNA from 1 species